rnacentral:rRNA from 1 species
UACGAAGGGGGCUAGCGUUGCUCGGAAUCACUGGGCGUAAAGGGUGCGUAGGCGGGUGUUUAAGUCAGGGGUGAAAUCCUGGAGCUCAACUCCAGAACUGCCUUUGAUACUGAAGAUCUUGAGUUCGGGAGAGGUGAGUGGAACUGCGAGUGUAGAGGUGAAAUUCGUAGAUAUUCGCAAGAACACCAGUGGCGAAGGCGGCUCACUGGCCCGAUACUGACGCUGAUGCACGAAAGCGUGGGGAGCAAACAGG